AGACUGGACGGUGGUGUAUCUGUGCUCUCGGUUGGCGUGAACCUGAUCUGGUCUUAAGAACCCCGGUGGCGAGUUGACAUAUGCAAGGGUUAAGUGCUACAUAUGUCGUGUGAUUAGAGAUCCCAGCUGGGUAUUAAUCGAUUCGGAUCGCUGUUUCUUCUCGGAUAUGAAGACUUGGUCACUGCCCUACACGUAGCAAUCCAGUGAACUGAUGGGAUGAUAAAAAGACGGCUAGUAUAGGCCAAGUGCUUGAACUAGGGUAGAAAGAACUCUAGAUGCAGGUAACUUUACUUAACCUGACAAGUAAAAUUGGAUUUUAAGGAUCCACUCAUAGUAAGCUUUUCUGCAAAACAGAGUCCUUGAUUCUUGAUAAGCCAUACCUUGAAUCCCUUUUUGAAACCAGCAUACCCUUGAGAGUCUUUUCUUUAGUCGGGUAAGUCUUGCUGAGUACUUGCGUACUUAGGGUUUUACCCAUUGUUGUUGUAGGUUACGAGUCAGUUGAUUGUGCUUGGUGUUAAGCGCCGGUGGGCACGACCUUCUUAUAAGUCUAAGUAACUCUUCUAUACUUCUUAUUGAGGAUGGUCACUUGAGCUAACUGUUGGGGGCCUUUGGCUUCCGAAGGUCCUCAAAAACAUGAUUUAACAAUGUUUCUGGAGUAUAAUACAUGAACAGGUAUCUUCGGACUCGGAUCAGAACCACAGUAUGAAGAAGCACAAAGAACACGAAGGUUGACGCAGAG
rnacentral:lncRNA from 1 species